rnacentral:tRNA from 1 species
AGAAAAGUAAGCUAAUAAAAGCUAAUGGGUUCAUACCCCAUCCAUAGAGUUUAACUCUCUUCUCUA